AGCGAACGCUGGCGGCAGGCCUAACACAUGCAAGUCGAACGGACCCUUCGGGGUUAGUGGCGGACGGGUGAGUAACACGUGGGAACGUGCCUUUAGGUUCGGAAUAGCUCCUGGAAACGGGUGGUAAUGCCGAAUGUGCCCUUCGGGGGAAAGAUUUAUCGCCUUUAGAGCGGCCCGCGUCUGAUUAGCUUGUUGGUGGGGUAAUGGCCCACCAAGGCUACGAUCAGUAGCUGGUCUGAGAGGAUGACCAGCCACAUUGGGACUGAGACACGGCCCAAACUCCUACGGGAGGCAGCAGUGGGAAUCUUGCGCAAUGGGCGAAAGCCUGACGCAGCCAUGCCGCGUGUAUGAUGAAGGUCUUAGGAUUGUAAAAUACUUUCACCGGUGAAGAUAAUGACUGUAGCCGGAGAAGAAGCCCCGGCUAACUUCGUGCCAGCAGCCGCGGUAAUACGAAGGGGGCUAGCGUUGCUCGGAAUUACUGGGCGUAAAGGGAGCGUAGGCGGACAUUUAAGUC
rnacentral:rRNA from 1 species